rnacentral:sRNA from 2 species
UGCAUGGGGACAUUGUAACGGCCAGGCGUUUUAUGUGGAUUUCUCUAACCCGAGUCAUGAAGUGCAGAACUACCUGGGUCCGAAGAGAACGUUUAGGCAUUAAACUUGCGCAUCCGUUUUUGACAUUCUUAGGAAUCCCUUGAUCUGAUGACAGGCGGAAUUGUUUGUUAGUAUGGAACUUUAAGUCAUGAUCUCCCUUGUGUAUUACAGCAUUCUCACUUGCCGCUUACCCACUUCGAUGUCCUGUACUAUUAUGUAGUAGAAAAGCAUUAAAAGCACAAGAGUACUCAAGAGUAUUGGCCAGUUUGACGAGGGUGGGAUUUGGAACCUCUCUGGAGUAAAUGGCCCCUUUUUUCCCGCGCUGAAACCAUUCCUGAUAUAGUUUGGAUUCCUUGAAAGUGGU